GAUGAACGCUGGCGGCGUGCUUAACACAUGCAAGUCGAACGAAGCACUUUGGACGGAUUCUUCGGAUGAAGUCCUUAGUGACUGAGUGGCGGACGGGUGAGUAACGCGUGGGUAACCUGCCUCAUACAGGGGGAUAACAGUGAGAAAUGGCUGCUAAUACCGCAUAAGCGCACAGUACUGCAUGGUACAGUGUGAAAAACUCCGGUGGUAUGAGAUUGACCCGCGUUGGAUUAGCUAGUUGGCAGGGUAACGGCCUACCAAGGCGACGAUCCAUAGACGGCCUGAGAGGAUGGACGGCCACAAUGGGACUGAGACACGGUCCAGACGCCGACGGGAGGCAGCAGUGGGGAAUAUUGCACAAUGGGGGAAACCCUGAUGCAGCGACGCCGCGUGAGCGAAGAAGUAUUUCGGUAUGUAAAGCUCUAUCAGCAGGGAAGAAAAUGACGGUACCUGACUAAGAAGCCCUGGCUAACUACGUGCCAGCCGCCGCGGUAAUAC
rnacentral:rRNA from 1 species